UUUACUGUGAGUUAAACCUCAGAGAAAGUUUUACUGAUCCCCUCAUUCAUCCCCACAUGUUGCUAAUCGCACUGGGGUUGAAACCAGCUUUUGUUUUCACACGAGCAAUUAAGGGCCAAUGAGGAGAGUAAUGAAUGUAACCACAGAGUCCAAUACUGUCUUUCUGAAAGACUGUAAAUAACUUUCACAAAUUUGCCUGCAGAUCUCCACAGCCAUUACCUAUCCAAAUAUCUAUACUCUCUUAAUUGGACAAGCUUUGCUCUUGAUUUGUUUACAUGAACAUGUUUGAUGCUUUUAAUUCUUAAUGUAUAAGUUUACAGGUUCACAGUGUGUCCCCACAGCAUUUCAAUCUGGAACACACACCCGUACCAACACCCCCACACCCGUCCACGCGCACACACACAAAGUUUAUCUCAUCGUCCUCCAGACACUUUUUCUGAAGCAGUCCUGCCCUGACAUCCUCAAGGGAAUGUCGCUAAGCCAGAAAAACCUCUACAGUUGCUCUCAGUUGGUCCACACAUAGCCACUGAGGCCAGAAAAGAGAGCAGUAGUGGCAGCUUAGUUAAUUCCAACAUUGUGCUGAUGGUGUGAUCACGGAGUCGGCAUGGAUACAAGAUGAAGACGAAGCAAACAACUGGUUCUGCAGCACUUGGUCAGGGUAAGUGGGCUUCAGAUCCUCAGGUGUGGGUGAUGCUGCCGGUCCUGCAGAGUCUCGCCGUGUCUCCUCCUCAUGUGGGUUGGAGACAGGAGCUUUUUAAAAGAAGGGGCAUCAGGAGUGCACACCAAUCCAGCCCCUCUCUCUUUACCAUUGGUUAGUGGAAUUUAACAUCUGGGUCCCCCAUAUCAUUGUCCAGAAGAAAAAAAGAAACGACAAGGGCCUGCUAGAGGGAGAGAGGAGAAAGAUGAACGCAGUCAGUGGGCGUUUGAGUGGCUGGAGUUGCCAAAAACUAAGAGGUUGCUUUCCCCUUUGUUCAAAUCCAUAUCUCAUAUUUCAUCUUUCUGACUCAACUGCAGCUUAAUUUAGGUAUUUGCUCUUUUAUUGCUUGUGGGUUCGAGCCUCCUUUGCAACAGGGUUGUUAUAUUUGUCCUGCGAACAGGUGUGUGCACGUGUCUGGUUCCUUCUUUAAACUUCUAUUCUGGUUUCUGUCUCCAUCUUGUCAAACAGUGAAGCAUUCUCUAAAAUUAGCACAUCCAAAAAAAAUUUUUAAUAAUCUAUGCUUAAUAUGAUCUCAUCUUGCUUUUUUUUUAUUGCAUUUAAAUGUACAAAAGGGCUUCAAUGUCCAUCAUUAAAUAUAACUGUGGUUUACUUAACUACACGUGAAGACUACGUUUUCUUUAGUUGUCACUGUGGCUCGCUCUUACUGCCCCCAUCUCCUCCACUCACUCUCGCCACAGCCAGAUGCUGCUGCUUCCCCCCUCUUGCCUCCCUCUGGUUCGACUUCUGGUUCAGUUUUGUAACUUUUUAACAGUUGCUGAUUGCGCGGUGAUGCACUGCCAGAGAGUGGAAGUGUCGUCAUAUGGCAUGCCAUUCAGGAAAAAGUCCUGAGAGCACAGACGUGAGACGUGCUUAUGAGGUGCAAUGUACUUGGGCUCGUUUUAAACAUGUGUAUUUGUUCGAGAAAGAGGUGGAAAUUAAAAAUACUAAUUUAACUCAGCUCUUUUAUAAAUCCCACUUGGCUUGACAUUAACACCGGGUUAAGCAGCAACAGCUGAAGGAAUGCUUCCACUGGUUUUAGCUUGAUAAAGCUUAAAGAAAACUGUACAGUUGAAAGUAGAAAUGCACAAUGAUGUUAACCUUUGAAAACUUUAUUGCUAAAUGAAUCCCAGAUGGGCAGCUAACUUGAUUGUGGCUAUUGUGCAUAUUGUCUAAGACGGUUCUCAGACUGGUGUAUAAAUACCAAUAUUUCAUAGAAUUAUGUGCAAUAAAUAGAGACUGUAAUAAAUUCAAUAUUUUUUACUCAGCAAUGAUAAAGUUGGCUUUAUUGAGUAAUUUCCUUACUUUGAGAAAAAUAGGGAACAUACUAUUGUGCAUGUAUACUUAAUUACCUUAAUGAAUAUGUACGAAACUAUGUGUGUAAAAUAUCUAUAGAAAAACAUAAAGUAGGAUUAGACGUAAAGUGUAAAUAAACACUUUACUUCAAAAGCUAUCACUACAUUUGAAAUAUGAGGCAGGUAUAUUACAUUUUGAACUCUGUUAAUGAGCUGACACGCCCACUUGGAUUUUCUACUUCAGGGAAAAUUCAUGUUUGAUUUUCUAAUGAAAAACGGGAAAAUUUUGAGUUCUGUGUAAAGCUGUAGAGCACAGUUAUAAUAGAUAAAUAAAUAUGCACUAUCGGCUAUUUUCCAAAAAGCAGAAGGGUAAUCAUGAUACAGUGUUGAGUCCAACAAAUAUACAUUCUGGUUAGCACCUUUGAAUGUUUUAUUUUUAUUAAACACUGUAGUGGCUACUGCAAACAGUUAAGAACAACCAAAAUCACAUAAAUGUUUAUGUACAGUAGCCAAAUUUAACAGACUAUUAAAUGAAGUGAAUACUCUUGAUCAAUAAUGAAAAAACAAUGCCCUGCCCGGAAGCUUUGAUUCUUUCCGUGACAGUGAAUGGCACUUGGAUGCGUGCAGCUUUCCUAAGGGUUGCAGCAGACGGACUGGACUUCCCCUUAUGGCAACGUUAUUCCUUUGAAAACUGUUUCCAUGACGUUUUAGUGUUUUCCUUUUCGUCCCUCCAAAAGACCCCUUCAUAGAUUUACUCAACAUUAAUCCUUAUAUAUAUAAAAAAUGUUUAUAAAUGUUUGUAACUGGACCAAAUACCACAAUCAAAUUUUUUUUGGAGGUGGGGUACAAAAUGUCUGGAUUAAAAUUGUGUAAGGUAUACCUUGUCAUGCUCCUUAUGAUGGCUUAUUCAAUUCAUUAUGUUGAGUUUAAAUCUCUUAGUCAAGAGGCAAGUGCUACGAAUUAUUCAUUCUCCUGGUUAAUCAAGAAUUAAAGACUUUUUAGUAAGCAAGAUGGUUGUUUCUAAUUGGACAGAAGACGACAAAAAAUUUAAAAUAUGUUUUGAUUUUGAAAAUACAAAUAUUUAUGUGUUUUUCCAUAUAUCCUUCUCAAUAAUCACAAAAACAAACGCUUUCAUCAUUACAGCAAACAAGCUCUUCUUGCUGAUCAACUUUUGACCGUUUUGACUUUGAAAUGCUACAAUACAUUAAGAUUUAGGCCAGAAGCUAGGUAUUUGACCAGUUAAAUUUUUUACACAAAUAAGAUUUUGAAUUAGCUUCUCCUUCAGCCAACCCACAGCCAAUGAAAAUGCAGAAAAUCAUCUAAAUCCUGCCACAGGAUUAACUUUCCACUGCAGUGUUUGAAAUAGUUUUUCUAUUCUCUGCAGCAAGCAGGGGUUGCAGUUUACUGCACCUUGUAUCAGAAGCAGAAGAAAAUUUCUUCAAGGUGUUUGGAGGUGAAAUGACAAGUGCUUGUGGUUACCCCAAGUGACUUUCUGAUGCCACCCUGGGCAUCUACCCAUAUGUCUACAGCCAAAACCACCAUGCGCAGUCUGUUCCUAAACAUUGCAAAACAGCUGCCGUUACAUUUGACUGUAUAAAUUUAUAUCAAUCAAGGAUCCUGGUGCUAAUUACUCACCCGCUCUGGUGAUGAGCACCACUGACACUGUAACGACAGACCCAUUGUUGCCUGAGAGAGUUUUGGACGGACAUUAAAGACUUGGCCACUGACAGUUCAGAGAUAUUUCCACAGUCAUUUCCCAAUUGCUUUGGACAGUGCAGAGUGAACAACAUAUAAACAUUCCUUUUCACUGACUGCCUACACCCACUCACACAUGUGCAUACUCACCAGGCAUUAGUGCAUUAGUAUGCUGAAGAAGCUCCUAAGGUUGUAUAAAUACACAUUACCUCAGCCGUAAACAGCACAGUAACCUCCGUCUUAAGUCAUUCCCACCGAAAGCUGCAGCGCUAACCUCCACACGGACAGAUCGUCUACUUGGGCUGAUUGUAGGCCGAUCUCACCUGUUUACAGCUUAUAUUAACAAACCAAAUCCAGUUGGGAGCAGGCAAGCAGUGCAACCAUAUGAGUUCUUUUAAAGAAGCCCGACUUUAAUUGUUGCAAUAUGCUUCUGUUUCAAACUCAAUGAAUCAGUGGCCAUUAUUCAAACGCCUGAAUGCACAUUACUUCAAUAUCUGAUUACUUCAGUGCUUGUGUUACUCUAGUCAGUUCCCCACAUGGGGAUGGGAGAGCAACCUAAUUGAAGACGUACUGUGCUGUGUGCUUGAAUGUUUUUACAUUUUGUUACAUCAGAACCACAAACUUCGACAUCUUCUAUUGGGAAUUUUGUGAUAGACCUACACAAAGUUAUUGUAAAUGCUUAGUGAUAGAAAACAAUAUUAAUGGUUUCCAAAGUUGUAUAAAAAUAUAAGUCCUCUUUACUCUUUUACCCCUAAAUAUAUGUUUUAAUUAGUGUAAAUACAACUGUGUUCCUCCACUUCAAAGUUGUGUGGUUGACUUUGUAGGUCUUUCGUGAAAACCAAAAAUAAAUAAAUCUUGUAGUAUAUAAGCAAAUGUACUGAAUGGACAUUAAACAUAAUUUGGACCAGUGCUUCUAAAUACUGUGUUGUUUAAAGUUAGUAUUGCCAUCACUUACGCCUGUUUUUAGAGGUAGCUUUGAAAAAAAACCCAAGUACAUUUUGAAUUAUUAUCAUUAUAUUAGUGAAAAAAGUUAAAAACACCAGUCACGUUGCGCUUCCUGAAAUUGGUCAGAUCUUUUUUUUUUUUAUUGGUCAACCAGAAAUAUGUGAACGUUUUGUAAAAGCAAAUGCAUUAACUAAAAGAACAUAGUGGCAAGUUUAAAAAUGACCAAACAAUCAAAAGAACACAAAUAUAUAUAGCUUUACAGAUUUAUACCCAAAACGCCAACCUACACCACGAUAUUUUAGCAGCACACUGAGGGAAUAGGGUCCACAGAAGGAGUACAUGAGAACAUAAAAGCUUCGGGGUUUUUUGAAAAAAAAGAAG